UCUACAGGCUUAACACAUGCAAGUCGAGGGGCAGCAUGGUCUUAGCUUGCUAAGGCCGAUGGCGACCGGCGCACGGGUGAGUAACACGUAUCCAACCUGCCGUCUACUCUUGGACAGCCUUCUGAAAGGAAGAUUAAUACAAGAUGGCAUCAUGAGUCCGCAUGUUCACAUGAUUAAAGGUAUUCCGGUAGACGAUGGGGAUGCGUUCCAUUAGAUAGUAGGCGGGGUAACGGCCCACCUAGUCUUCGAUGGAUAGGGGUUCUGAGAGGAAGGUCCCCCACAUUGGAACUGAGACACGGUCCAAACUCCUACGGGAGGCAGCAGUGAGGAAUAUUGGUCAAUGGGCGAGAGCCUGAACCAGCCAAGUAGCGUGAAGGAUGACUGCCCUAUGGGUUGUAAACUUCUUUUAUAAAGGAAUAAAGUCGGGUAUGGAUACCCGUUUGCAUGUACUUUAUGAAUAAGGAUCGGCUAACUCCGUGCCAGCAGCCGCGGUAAUACGGAGGAUCCGAGCGUUAUCCGGAUUUAUUGGGUUUAAAGGGAGCGUAGAUGGAUGUUUAAGUCAGUUGUGAAAGUUUGCGGCUCAACCGUAAAAUUGCAGUUGAUACUGGAUAUCUUGAGUGCAGUUGAGGCAGGCGGAAUUCGUGGUGUAGCGGUGAAAUGCUUAGAUAUCACGAAGAACUCCGAUUGCGAAGGCAGCCUGCUAAGCUGCAACUGACAUUGAGGCUCGAAAGUGUGGGUAUCAAACAGGAUUAGAUACCCUGGUAGUCCACACGGUAAACGAUGAAUACUCGCUGUUUGCGAUAUACUGCAAGCGGCCAAGCGAAAGCGUUAAGUAUUCCACCUGGGGAGUACGCCGGCAACGGUGAAACUCAAAGGAAUUGACGGGGGCCCGCACAAGCGGAGGAACAUGUGGUUUAAUUCGAUGAUACGCGAGGAACCUUACCCGGGCUUAAAUUGCAGAUGAAUUACGGUGAAAGCCGUAAGCCGCAAGGCAUCUGUGAAGGUGCUGCAUGGUUGUCGUCAGCUCGUGCCGUGAGGUGUCGGCUUAAGUGCCAUAACGAGCGCAACCCUUGUUGUCAGUUACUAACAGGUUCCGCUGAGGACUCUGACAAGACUGCCAUCGUAAGAUGUGAGGAAGGUGGGGAUGACGUCAAAUCAGCACGGCCCUUACGUCCGGGGCUACACACGUGUUACAAUGGGGGGUACAGAGGGCCGCUACCACGCGAGUGGAUGCCAAUCCCCAAAACCUCUCUCAGUUCGGACUGGAGUCUGCAACCCGACUCCACGAAGCUGGAUUCGCUAGUAAUCGCGCAUCAGCCACGGCGCGGUGAAUACGUUCCCGGGCCUUGUACACACCGCCCGUCAAGCCGUGGGAGCCGGGGGUACCUGAAGUGCGUAACCGCGAGGAGCGCCCUAGGGUAAAACUGGUGACUGGG
rnacentral:rRNA from 1 species